UCCAAUCAUGGCAGCCACUAGUUCCCAGCGACGCGGGUGUUGUUCGUCAACGACGGCCAGAGCCAGCUCAAACAACUUGUUCUCCUCCCAACUCCAACAACCCUUUGGUAUAUCUUCCAUAAUUGAGAGAAAAUCCAAGUGGGCUUUGUUUGAUUCUCUUCGGCAGAUUCUCAGUUGGUUUUUUCGGAGACAACUCAAGAGUCAGGUGGUAUCUGUUAUGGGCAGACUAACAUUUGGCUACACUUAUAAACAACACGUUUCAAAAUAUAUAUAUAAAAUAUAAAUAGACAGCAUAAUUUAAAUCUAGUAAACUACAAUCUCCAUUUGUUUUGGCCAAAACAGGAAACUAUUUACCAAAACAGUAAGAUAAUAAGAGACUCUUCAUUUACCAUUUCUUGCAACACCGAGGAUCUCUCUCUUUUUCAAGUUAUAAAAUACCCCAAUUCUGUCAUUGGAUUCCAACUAGUGUUAAUAACCAAAGUCUACGGCAUGAAUAGACAUGAUAUGAUAUGAUAUGAUUAUUAUUUUAUUAUUAUUUUUGUUUUUGGGAGAGGAGGCUAAGAGAUAUCAUAUUUUAUGAAUCGUGUACUGUUAUGUUACUUAAACCAUGGGAUUAGAUUGUCAUUUCUUUUAACCAACCAAUAAUGGAAAGGGACCUAACCAUUUUGAUCCAUAAUUAUUCAACAAAUAAUAAUAAAAUAUCAUAAUCACUUACGUUUCAUGUUUGCAAAAAUAGAAAGAGACUUGGGAAGCCCACGUAAUACACACUUAAGGAUAUGAUUAUUUUUAAUGACUUUGAUUAGGUGAAAGGGGUGGAAAAGGAGAUAUGAUAUCAAUGAAAGAAGGGCCACAAAUGGGUAGGUAAAACCAAAAUUAACAAUUAUUUGUCUAUUUUAGAAAAUGAAAUAAUAUAAAUUUAAAUAUUUACUAUGUUAUGGUGGCGGGUCAAAAUUAAUAAGACCCUACUUCAUCUUUUUUUAAUAGGGUGGUAUAGACUGCGGUUAUGUUGAUCGAUUUUUUGUUUAGAUAAGUUUAUAUGUCCCCUUCAGUCCAGACACGACUGGACUCUAUAAGAUUUACACAAUUUCACUUU